GGGACGAUAAUGACGGUACCUGGAGAAUAAGUCACGGCUAACUACGUGCCAGCAGCCGCGGUAAUACGUAGGUGACAAGCGUUGUCCGGAUUUACUGGGCGUAAAGAGCGCGCAGGCGGUCGUUCAAGUCGAGUGUGAAAGCCCCCGGCUCAACUGGGGAGGGUCAUUCGAUACUGAUCGACUCGAAGGCAGGAGAGGGAAGCGGAAUUCCCGGUGUAGUGGUGAAAUGCGUAGAUAUCGGGAGGAACACCAGUGGCGAAGGCGGCUUCCUGGCCUGUUCUUGACGCUGAGGCGCGAAAGCUAGGGGAGCAAACGGGAUUAGAUACCCCGGUAGUCCUAGCCGUAAACGAUGGACACUAGGUGUUGGUGGUAUCAACCCCACCAGUGCCGAAGCUAACGCAUUAAGUGUCCCGCCUGGGGAGUACGGCCGCAAGGCUAAAACUCAAAGGAAUUGACGGGGCCCCGCACAAGCAGCGGAGCGUGGGGUUUAAUUCGAUGCAACGCGAAGAACCUUACCAGCACUUGACAAUCACUAGUG
rnacentral:rRNA from 1 species